UCCGUUGGAGAAGACACUGCUGGCUGCUCAUGCACCGUGGGCUCUGUAGGAGAGAACCUCAGAGUUGGUAAUGGAGCCCCAGCAGCGAUUUGCCAGCAAAUCU
ensembl:miRNA